rnacentral:rRNA from 1 species
AGUGAACGCUGGCGGUAGGCCUAACACAUGCAAGUCGAACGGCAGCACAGUAAGAGCUUGCUCUUACGGGUGGCGAGUGGCGGACGGGUGAGGAAUACAUCGGAAUCUACUUUUUCGUGGGGGAUAACGUAGGGAAACUUACGCUAAUACCGCAUACGACCUCCGGGUGAAAGCAGGGGAUCUUCGGACCUUGCUCGCUUUAAUGAGCCGAUGUCGGAUUAGCUAGUUGGCGGGGUAAAGGCCCACCAAGGCGACGAUCCGUAGCUGGUCUGAGAGGAUGAUCAGCCACACUGGAACUGAGACACGGUCCAGACUCCUACGGGAGGCAGCAGUGGGGAAUAUUGGACAAUGGGCGCAAGCCUGAUCCAGCCAUACCGCGUGGGUGAAGAAGGCCUUCGGGUUGUAAAGCCCUUUUGUUGGGAAAGAAAAGCAGCAGGUUAAUACCCCGCUGUUCUGACGGUACCAAAAGAAUAAGCACCGGCUAACUUCGUG